GCCAUUCCUGAGAACAGUAUUCAGGGUCCCACAAAUGGGGGUAGGGCCAGCAUGACCCAGUACUUAGGGAUAGAUAGGUCUCUCUUGGUGACAAGGACACAGGUCCCAGAUUCUGCCUAGUACCUCUCUGGUGCUUAGAUGUGCUGUGUCCCUUGUUCUACGUGCUGAUUGACAUGCAUAGACUGACCUGGAUGUGACCCAUCACUGAAGUCGGGCCCUCAUCUCUGGCCUAGUGUUUCAUAGCUGCAGUCCGUGCAGGGGCAGGAUCUCUGGCCUGCUCACAGUGCUGACUGCAGACCUCAGGAGAGACUUGGUGCAGCCUAGGGAACCAGGUGGCCAUCUUCCCAGUGGGGACUGGCUGUGUUUUGGGGGGCCUUAAUUCGAGAAUACCACCCUGGCUCCUGAGGCUAGUGGGUACCCUAGUUUGGCUUAACGUGUAUGUGACUCCUGAGCCACUUGUCCUGGAUUUGCGUGCCUCCAAGUCCUGUCCCAUUUCUCCCCAGCAACCCUACCAAGUCAGGGCCCCAGAGCUGUAUGUCUUUUCCAUCUCUCUUGGGAGGAAGGCAUCAUAACUCCUGGAUCAGCAAAGAGUAGCCAGAGCCCACCCCCUAAUCUUACCCCCACCUCCCUUCUUCCCUCGGUACAGACUGCCACUUGCCUUCCUCAGUCACUUUGUGGCUGGGUUCUCCAGGUCAAGAAGCCCACUAGACAGGAGUGGACUCCCCCGUGGGGAAGGUGGUCGUCUCUGCUGUUUAUGAAGGAGGAGCUGCAGAGCGGCAUGGUGGCGUUGUGAAAGGGGAUGAGAUCAUGGCCAUCAACGGCAAGAUCGUGACGGACUACACCCUGGCUGAGGCUGAGGCUGCCCUGCAGAAGGCCUGGAAUCAGGGCGGGGACUGGAUAGACCUUGUGGUUGCCGUCUGUCCCCCCAAGGAAUACGAUGAUGAACUAACCUUCUUUUAAAGUCCAGAGACAGAAGCCAGCCAGACCCAUCCUGGAAGCUGGCAAGCUCGGCACCCAGCCCCUGAAGUCAGCCUGAGAGACACCAGUCACCAGGUGUAGAAAAUCUCCCUGGAAACUGUCCCCCGAAGCCCUGUGACCUGGCCCCUCCUCUGAAAGCCAGCAAAAGGUGGAGCAAGGACCAACUGCUGUUCUGGAGUGGUCUGUGGGAUUCCACUCCCAUUUCUUCCAGCUCUAAGUUGGCCGUACCUGCUCUAGAAUAUUCCUUUCUUGAGACCUAAGGGCGCCCAGGUCCUGCACCUCCCUAUUGCACUCCCUCCUACUGUAAUCCCUGCUGGAAACCUGAUGGUGAACUCACUAAUAAAUACACUGACUCCGUCUCCA
rnacentral:lncRNA from 1 species